CAGGAGCUGGCCCAAAUGCACACCAGGACUCUUCUACUAGUCGUACAACAAUUCUGGGAUGAGCUUUGUAAAAAGAAGCACCCAAAUGAGGCAGUCUUAGAGGGCUAAUAUGAUCCGCAUGCACCUGCAAAAUAUAUAUGUGCCACAACAACCCUCGACUCCCAGCUAAUGGGACAUGAGAAAGCACACGGCUUCGCCCAUCAAUGUUGUGGAGUGGUGUUAGGCCUUCUAGAUCUGGUUUACACAAUUCCAAAGCUGUCACCACAUGUACACUAAUUCUUGGCAUGCUUACAAGUGUUGUAUUAGGUUUAUAUUUUGCUCUACGUUCUGGUUCUUCAACACCCCUCCAUCUUAUUCGAGAACAGGCGAGCGAUUACCAUUUCUAGAAUCGGAGGAACUAGAAUCGGGCAAAGGCAAGAAAGAAGUGGAAGCAAAACAUGUGAGUUAUUCGUACACGUUUUUCCAUAUGAUAGUUGCAAUAGCAAGCAUGUAUUCGGACAUGCUUUUAUUGGGAUGGAGCAGUUCAGAAUGCUCGGAUCUCACUGAUACCGGGUGGCUGGUCAUUGAUUGAAUUGUUCACAAUUUGCAUCUGGUGGCUAGUCGUUGAUUUUGCAUCCAAAUCAUGGAGCAUUCCACAAAGGCAAAACAACUAGAUAUAUAUUUGCAGCACUUUUAAGUCUACAAGCAGUGAGUUAUAUGGAUUUGAAGACAAUAACCAAGAAUUAGUUCUUAGUUUAUGUGUAGAGGCAUUCCCUUUGCAACUUUUGUAGUUAGGUUUUGAGAAGUUUAUGUCUUUCAUAUGUAUUUAAAUUGAAAACUUAUGUAUGGAUUUUGGUUUAUUAUUGUUAAUAUAAUUUGGUUUUUAGGUUUUCUCA